rnacentral:rRNA from 1 species
UAGAGUUUGAUCAUGGCUCAGGAUGAACGCUAGCGGCAGGCUUAACACAUGCAAGUCGAGGGGUAACACGGGUGCUUGCACCUGGUGACGACCGGCGGAUGGGUGAGUAACACGUAUGGAACCUGCCCCUUACUGGAGGAUAGCCCGGAGAAAUCCGGAUUAAUACUCCGUAAUAAAGGAAGUGGCAUCACUUCUUUUUGAAAGCUCCGGCGGUAAGGGAUGGCCAUGCGCCCGAUUAGCUUGUUGGUGGGGUAACGGCCCACCAAGGCGACGAUCGUUA